UAAGGAAUAUUGGACAAUGGAGGCAACUCUGAUCCAGCCAUGCCGCGUGAAGGAAUAAGGCCCUAUGGGUUGUAAACUGCUUUUGUACGGAACGAAAAGGCUCUGGCUAAUACCUGGGGCUCAUGACGGUACCGUAAGAAUAAGCACCGGCUAACUACGUGCCAGCAGCCGCGGUAAUACGUAGGGUGCAAGCGUUAAUCGGAAUUACUGGGCGUAAAGCGUGCGCAGGCGGUUAUGUAAGACAGAGGUGAAAUCCCCGGGCUCAACCUGGGAACUGCCUUUGUGACUGCAUAGCUGGAGUACGGCAGAGGGGGAUGGAAUUCCGCGUGUAGCAGUGAAAUGCGUAGAUAUGCGGAGGAACACCGAUGGCGAAGGCAAUCCCCUGGGCCUGUACUGACGCUCAUGCACGAAAGCGUGGGGAGCAAACA
rnacentral:rRNA from 1 species